rnacentral:rRNA from 1 species
UACGAAGGGGGCUAGCGUUGCUCGGAAUAAUUGGGCGUAAAGCGCACGUAGGCGGUUCGGUAUGUCGGAUGUGAAAGCCCUUGGCUUAACCGAGGAAGUGCAUCCGAAACUGGCGAGCUAGAGUACGAAAGAGGAUCGCGGAAUUCCCGGUGUAGAGGUGAAAUUCGUAGAUAUCGGGAGGAACACCGGUGGCGAAGGCGGCGAUCUGGGUCGAUACUGACGCUGAGGUGCGAAAGCGUGGGGAGCAAACAGG